rnacentral:lncRNA from 1 species
UGACCUUGAUGCAUCCACUCCGUCGGCACGGAGGAAUGAUGUCAACACCACGGCAGAGUUUAACGUUACUUGCCCGGGGAUGAUUGACACGUUCCGCCUAAUACACCCCCGCCGGCGUGCUUACACAUACGUCCAUCCAGCGGGAGCUUCCCGUAUUGAUCGUAUAAUGGUAUCGCAAGCCCUGGAAAUGGCAGUCUAUGGCAGCGAUACAGCCUCAGGGACUCCAGCGGAUCACCGGAUCACCCACACUACCAUCCGGGCAGCCAAUAGUACGCACACACCAGGACCUGGCCUACCCCGUACUAGGCUUCACUUCCUGGACCAUGAUGACCUAUGUGCAAACUUAAAUAUGUGGGUAAAUAACACGGCAGAAUCAGCCCCCACGCACCCGGACGACCUCAUCCAAUGGUGGCCAGGCUUCAAACGGGCGCUGGCCCUAUCAGCUGGCCGCCUAAACCAACAGGCACGCAUGCGUCAGCUAAUUGGAGCUGCAGACGAGGCUGCUGCCCAAGCCCAGGCCGACAGCGUCCUGGCGGAAGCGGAGGAGGGGGACGCUUCGGCUCUUCCACGGGCGGUUCUCGCCAGGUCGGCCAGGCAGAUGCGGCACACCGGGCUGUAGCAGGCGUCACACGACGCACCCGUUACAAUUGGAUACGUACAGGCGAACGACCUAGCCCAGCACUAACCAACCAACUUAGGCCACCCUUAGCAACUCGCAGAAUCACUGCCCUACGAAGGCCUAAUGGUACUCUGUGUAGCAAUUUACAACAGCUUCCUAAUAUCAUGGCGGAUUAUUGGCAACAAAUAGGUGCACAGCCCCAUACUGACCCAGUUGCGCGGUCACGUGUCCUCCAAGCGCUCCGUGCGAGGGGUAGGACGUGCUCACCAGAAGAAGCGGCUAGGGCGGGAGCGCAGGUUGUUACAGUAGAGGAAGUGCAAGCCGCCCUCCAGGCGGCAGCCCCGGGCCGUGCUCCGGGUCCCGACGGAAUACCGGUGGAAUUAUACCAGCGUACAAACUGUGCACCUUUACUGGCUGCCGUUUUUACAGCUAUGGGGGAACUAGAUAGGGUCCCGACUGGCUUUCUGGACGGCAUUAUUUCCUCUUUUUUUAAAGCGGAUGACCCUACGGUGCCGGGAAAUUAUAGACCCAUUACGCUGCUUGGUACAGACUAUCGCACUCUCGCACGUGUUCUCAAGCAACGCCUAUUGCCGCUGUUUAACCGCGUCAUAGACACGGAGCAGACAGCCUUCCUCACGGGCAGGCGAAUCGCGGAUAGUGUGCUCCUUUUACAACUGCUGCCCGCGCUUCUCCGUAUGGAGCGCCGUACUUGUGUGGCAGCUUUCCUUGACUUCUACAAAGCCUACGAUACCCUAGAUAGAGACUUUCUGUUCGCGUGUCUGGAUGAAUUGGGUGUAGGUGUGGGCUUUAUUGCUUGGGUUCG